rnacentral:rRNA from 1 species
AUGCCACAUCCUAAUAGAGCAUACACUCUGCAAUGCAUUUUCUGUGACAAUAUAUUAACUAGCGGCGUAACAAGGGUAAAGUAUCACCUUGCUGGCAUUAAGAAGUGCAAUGCUACACCAUGCCAGAAGGUUCCUCGGGAUGUGAAGGAGGAGAUGAAGGUUUUGCUCCUAAAGAGUAAUGAUGCGAAGGAUGAGAAAAUCACAGAAUUGGAAAAGAUAAGAAGUUCAGUUAACAUAGAUCACUCGGAGGGAGAAGAGGAGAGUGAUGACGACGGUGACAAUGAUAUUGUGUUGUCAACACAAAGCAGAAGCAGAUCCCAAGGUGGCCCUAUGGACAAG